rnacentral:lncRNA from 1 species
AGCUUAGUGAGGUCCCAAGGAAGCUCGGAGUGCUUCGUUGGAAGUUUUUGGACGUAAGAACACGGAGAUCGACAAGUUCAAAGUUUGGCCGGAGCUUUCGAGGCUUUUUCCGGCGAAUCCCCGGCGAGUUAGGAGUCAAGGUAGGUAUCAAUCUCUUCGUCUCGUCAAGUACUACAACUUUCCUUUUUGUUUCACUCAAUUUCGUUGAGUAUUGAAGAAGUUAUACUCAUUUGAAAAAUACCCAGUUUCCGACGACCUCCGAGGCUUUCGAGGCAGUUUCCGGCCAAACCACGGCGAACUAGGUGUUGUACAAGGUACCAUUAUCUUUGUCUCUUCAAGGGCUACAACUUUCAUUUUUGAAUCACUUGAUUUCGUUGAGAAAUGACAAAGUUAUGGCAAUUUGAAAAACGGCCGCCGGAAAAACCAGUCCGGCGACCCAAGGAAGAAGAAGGUGCGCGUGGGGGCGCGUGCUACAGUAACAAAAUAUUUUAAAAAUAUGUCGACGUCCGUGACGGAGUAGAUCUCUGUGGUAUAUUCAUAUACCCAAUUUGAGCACCGUAUGAGAAAGUUAUUAAGGAUUGUUGGUUAGGUGUUCGAAUAACGUUUUAUAGUUUUGGUGAAAAUGUGAAUUGAUGAUCCGACCGUUGGAUCGUCACCAAAAUUUGAUACGUUGUAAUACGUAAUAUUUGAGGAUUAUAGGAACUUACAGAUUGGGAAUCCGAUUUGCGGAUCUUCCGAAAUUGGAGUUGUAAGUCCAUAAUAUAGAAUGUUAACUGUCACUUAGUUUUGGAAAUUGACGGAGAUCCAACCGUUGGAUGGUAAUGAAAUUUUAGGAUGUUAUCCUAGAGAUAUAUUGUGGACCUCUGGAAGUUAUGGAUUUAAAAUCUGAGUGGCAGAUCUUCCGGAUCGAACUACGUAGUGACGUAUUUUAUAUAAGUUAUAUAUUCUAUCGAUAUGAAUUCUGAGGUUGGAUUUGAUUACUAUUCUAGGCGGCGAUCGUCGUGACGCCUUGAUGUGUGGUGCUAGGGAGUUGUUGGACGAACUCCAGGUGAGUGGGCAGUUUUGUUUUCCGUAUACAUAUAUACUUGCCGUUUUCCCAGAAAUUGAAAAUGCAUGAAAUUAUGCUUUUAAUGAAAAUGUAUAAAAGUAUAUGAGAUAUAUUAGUUGAAAUGCCAUGCAUGAAAGUAUAUGAAAAGUAGAUAGAAAUGUGAAUCGAAUUGCCAUGCAUGAAAUGAUAUGGAAAGUAUGAAUUGAUAUAUGAUGCAUAUGUAUGAAUUGGUGCGGCGGACGCACAGGUGAGUAUCAGGUGAGUAUUUAAAUAUUGUUAUGAUGAUGUUGAUAUAUAUUGAGCUAAAUCCUGCACCAUGGUUUAGUGCUUAUAGUAUUCACCGCAUCGCACGCUCGCCUUGGAUCCAAGUAGAUGCUGGUCGCACAGUCCACGCGGAGUGGGUGCGACGGGCCAGUCGAAGAGUGUUAGUGAGAUUUCGACUGGUGGGUGACCUUAGAUUAUGUGCACAGAUGAUUGAUGAGAAAGCACUAGAGCGUAACUUGUGUGCAGAAGGCCGGACGGGUCACAGAGGUGACUCCGGUAGAGUGAUAGUGAUAGAUUUUGAGCUCUAGGUUCAACCGUACAGGGCUAUUAGAGGGCCUCCGGUUGAUUACUUUCUUGCACCUGAUAUGAUUAUUGUUGAUGCAUCCAUACUUAACUGUUGAAUUAGACAUGGCAUGGCAUGAUUGAUAAAGAAAAAAUGUUGAGUUAAUGAAUCGAAGUAUUGAGAAUAUAUAUGUAUAUUUAUAUUUUACAUUUCUGGGAAAGUAUACAGGUUUUACGGAGAGAGGUUACAACGUUUUGAGAAAUGUUUGGAUUUGGAAAGAAUUGUUUUACUGACCCACUCAAUUUUGGUUUUGCGCCCCUCCAGGUUAAAGAAUAGCUGAGGUGUGGUGGCUACGAGGAAUUCAACGGGGUUCUGACAGAAUGGAUCAAAUUAGGACUCACCUUCGGGUGUAUCAACUUAUAAAUUGUAUAAUUAAAGCUUCCGUACUGUGCAAAUGGUUACGUCACUCUCACGUGACGGCCAGCAUGCCCUCCUUCGGGACGGGGUGUGUCAGUUGGUAUCAGAGCAUGGUUGCAAUCUUGGACAUCUUGAGAAGUUCUAGUGAAUUCUGUCAGAACUACACCGCCUCGUAGCAAGCCACUUAGUUAGAGGAAUUUAGUCUCCCUAAUAUAGCGGUUUAGGGAAAACUAUUAUUAUGGUGAUUCAGUCUAUUAUAAAAAGGGACAUUUUAAGACGGGUUAUGAGUUGAAUUUGAAUCACCUUAUGAAAUGAUGAACCUGAGGGAGCGAAGUAACGGUUUAACCAUUUGGAAAAGAUGUUUCAGAUUAUGCAAGUCAAAGGAAUCUUCCUUCUGACAGGGGGUCGAGACGAUUACCUGGUUUUGGGUAUGAAUUUGUAUCCUGGUGGAAACAGGAGUAUGAUUUGUUGUCACCGGAGGAACAGCCGAUUUAAAAUUGUUUAAGGACUUGUUUAAGGAAAAGUUUAUCCCUCCGGCAUUUAUCGAUGAUAGUAAGCAAGAGUUUGCAAAUGUGAAUCAAGGAAGUUGACGAUAAAUGGAUAUUAUAGAAAGUUUUCAGACUUGCCUCGUUCCAUCCAGAUAUUGUUGUUAAUUUGGUAGAGGUGUUAUGUUGUUUUAAGCUGGGUGGCAAAAGGGAAGUGGUAUUUUGGGUGACCAUUAUCCAUUGUAGUUCUUAUCAGGAGUAUGCGAGAUGCUGUUGAGCCUUGAGGACUCUAAGAACAUGAGCAACGAGAAUAAAGAAGAAUAAGAAAUGAAUGGGAAUCAAAAGAAGACGAUAAAGUUUAUGAUUCGUCAUAUCAAGGAUAUAGAAAGAUUCAGAGCUUCGAAAGAAGUGAAGCUAGAGUUAAUUCUUCCAGCUGAGGUUUUAAUGUCGCUGGUCAGAAUAAAAGUGAUGGAUAUACUGGUAAUCCCAGAUAUUUGAGACAAGGUGUCUCGAGUAAAGGAAAUGUACCUUGUGCAGCAGGUACAAAAAAUUAACACUUUGGGAAGUGUGAAAUUAAUGAAUGUGUUUAUGUGAACAGAGGGGACACAGAAUUGUGAAUCGUCCCUAGAAUCAGUUGUACUCAACAAUUUUCCAUGAUAUCAUAGUGUCGAUUCAGCAGAGUUAUGGACUUAGUAGUUUGGUCGGAUUGACCGUGAGUACAGAGAGAUUUGAUGAGUUAUAUGUUCAGCCGUACAGACCAUGAGAAGUGGAUUCGAUUGACACAUGAGAAAUUUGUGAGUUAUAGGCUCAGCCGUACCGACCACGCGGAGUGGAUCCGGCCGACGUAUUAUUGAGAUAAGAGUUGAAUCAACCGUAUUGGUCAUUCUAGUUGACUUCGGCUGAUAUAUUUCUUAUUAUGUAUGAUAUUACCUAGAGAGUGGUAAAUAAAUGUAGUUGAGACGAGUGUAUGUAUUUUGCAUUGAGUGACAAAAUAGUAAUGUUAUAUCUUUUUUAGUGGUUGCCUACUUAUCGAGACAACGAUGAUUUAUCAGUAUUGCGGGCUGCAGACCGUAAUAUUAAUAACUCAUUCGUGGAUUCGUUAAGCAAGCAAACCGGUAGGUUAUUUUAUGUUAGUGUUGUACUUAUUUAGAAUGUUCAGUAUUAAUAAAGUAUGUAUUGUGUCGGUUAAAUUAUUUCCAUUAGAUUGGUUGGUUAUAAUUGUGACUAAAUGGACUGUUAUGGGAAACCAGUCACUUUCCAUCGAUCUGGAUGACCAGAGAUUACUUUUGUAAGUAUGCAAAGUGGAUUGAGUCAGGCCGUUAUUUAUGCUGUGAGAGCAAAGAGAUUGUUUUCGAAAGGCUGUCAAAAAAAUACUUAGCUCAUGUGGUGCUAAAUGAUGUUGUUUGGAGUAGUGUGAAUAAUGUCGAAAGAGUUAGACUUUUCUUGAUGUCUUCCCUGAAAGUAUACCUGGAUUGUCUUCAAGCAGAGAUAUGAGGUUCAUUAUUGAUUUGUUGCCAGGUAUAAAUUUAUAUUGGAGAUCAGUUCAUGAUGAGUUAAGAAAAUUGGAAAUUUAGUUGAAAGAAUUGGUUGACAAAAGUUUCAUUCAACCUAGUACAACACUUUUGAGGAGCCCCAGUUUGUUGGUGAGGAAGAAAAUGGAUCUUGAGACUGUUCAUUGAUUAUAGACAAUGGAGUCGGGUAACGAUUGAGAACCGUUAUCCAUGGUGAUGUAUUGAUGUUUAUUUAACCAGCUCAGAAGUAAUGGCGAAGAUUCAAAGAUUGAAUUGAGAUCUGGUUACUACCAAUUGAAUAUUAUAAGUGACGUUGAUCAUAAGAUGGUUUUCUGGACUCGUUAUAGUCUUUAUGAAGUUUGGUGAUGCUAUAUGGAUACUCAUGCUGUUUUAUGAGUUGAUGGAUGAAGUAUUCCAAUAAUGCCUUGAUAAAUUGAUAUCAUUUUCAUUGAAGAUAUUCUGGCAUAUUCUGAGCCAGAGCAGAGCAUGUAAACGUAUUAAGUCGGUGAAACAAAGAUUGGAAGAAUGUCGAUUGUAUGCUAAGUUUAGCAAAUGCUAAAGUUAGAUGAAUCAGGUGGCAUUCUGAGAUUUGUUAUAUAUUCUUAAGGUAUUCAAGUGAAUCCUUAAAAGAUAGCAGAAAUUGAGGAAUUGGAACAACCACGAACUGUAAUUGAGAUUCAGAAUUUCUUAGCUUACCAGGCUAUCUUGGAUGGUUGUGAAAGAUUUUUCAGUCAUUGCUUUGUCAUUGACGAGACUGUUGAGAAAAGAGGUUAUGUAUGAGUGGGAAGGAAAUUGUGAGCAAAUGAUUCAACAACUGAAGUAUUUCCUCACUCAUGCACGUAUUUUAGUAAUCCCAGAGAAUAGUGGUAAUCAUAAAUUUUUAGUGCUGUUUCUUGAAUGGUAUUGGAUGCAUGUUGAUGCAAAUGUUAGGGUGAUUGCAUACGUUUCACGACAAAUGGAAUCUCAUGAGAUGAAUUACCCUACUGGUGAUUUGGAAGUCACGAUUACCAUCCUUGCUGUGAAGUUAUGGAGACAUUAUAUUUUAGUGAGAAUGCAAGAUUUUUUUUACGAAUCCAAAAAGUCUUCAAUAUCCAUUACUUGGAAGGAUUUUGAUAUGAGGCAGCGAAAGUGAAUUGUAUUGCUUAAUGAACAUGAUUGAACGAUCAGAGUGAUCAUAAAGUUUGUUCUAGCUGAAGCAUUUGGUGAGAAGACUACAGUAAGAUUAAUGUCUGGCACGUUUGCCAAGAGUAUCAUCUUGUGGAUUGAAACCAACGGAAGAAAAAUUAAGAAUGGAAGAUCGAGAAGAAGUUAUACUUGUUAAAUUUCAAGUUAGGCCUUUUGGUAAGGUCGUACUCGAGACUCAAAUGGUAUGUGAAUACAAGCAAACGAAAAGUAUGUGCCUAAUGCUGUGGGUUUAAAGCAAACAAUUUUGGACGAAGUACACUGUUCAGCUUCUGCAAUAUUCCGAAGGUAAUAAGGUUUAUCAUACCAUUCGACAUUUUUAUUGGUCAGCAGAUUGAGGCAGAAAGAAAUAAACCUUUGGAUUGAGACAGCUAUUUUCUGUUUCGAAACGGAAAUGGAAAGAGAAUUGGAUUACGGAACUGCUGAGUUUCUUAAGUAUGUUGGGUGUGCAGUUUCCGAAAUAACGCCAUAGGGUCCCUGAAGCGUGUCGUGUGAAUGAAAUGCUUCUGAAUAGAGAAAGAUUCGAUCAAGAAAGAGUUUUAGUAGACCCUGAGACUAUGGAUGAGUCUCCUCAAAGUAUUCAGGUGAUUAAGUUUAACCUGAAGGUAGCCAGGAAUGGCAAAAGAGACUAACAGAUGGAUAUGCCAUUAAUCGAGUGUGUAAGGUAAAUGGUUUGAUAUUUUUGGAAAUUUCACCAUGAACAUAAAUAGUAAGAUUCAGAAAGGGAGACAAGAUAAGUCUUGAACACAUCAGUCCGUUUUGAUCAUUAAAGGAAUCGACGAAGUUGCAUACAAGUUUGUGAUGCCUUCAGAAUUGGCUAAGGCACAUAAUGUAUUUUGUGUUCGAUGCGUUGUCACUAAGUGGCAGAGUCGUUACAUGGGACUUUGGUGCAACUAUUGAGAAUUAAGCCGGAUCUGAUUGGUGAGGAACCAAUGACGACUUUGGAUUGGAAAAAGAAGGUCCUGAGAAUUAAGACAGAGUAAGUAGUAAAAGCUUUGUGAAGGAAUCAUUCAGUAGAAAAUUAUGUGGGAGAAAGAGAAUCGGAUGAGACAGAUUUACCCGUAGCUAUUGUUGGAGUAUGGUUGAUUUAGUUGGUUGCUGGAAUUUCGGGGACGAAAUUCUAUAAGGAGGGAAGAUUGUCACAGCCCGUCCCGGAAUUUUAAUUCUGAGAACGUGAAAAGACGAAAAUGCCCUUAAACGGGAGUAAGGGGCGAAAAUUUAACAAUUGGGAUUGAGUUGGACACGUGGGAUCCCCACAUCCCUCAAAACCUUCCCCAAUUCCCGUACCUUGUCACUCUUUCUCUCCUCCCUCACGAAACUCUCAGUUUUCUCUCCCUCUCCUUCGAACUCACACGGACAAGCUCCAAAACCACCCUAAACUUCUACCAACGACAGAGUUAAGACCACCAUCAAACUCCUGGAACCUCCACGAUCACGAUGGUAUCCAUUUCAGGUAAGUUUUGCUUCGGAAAACCCUAGUUUCAAAGUUCCCGUGAAAUGGUACCGUUCAUGAUCUUCUAAAUGACUACGUUUUAGGCUAAAACAAGAUCACAGCGAGCUUAGUGAGGUCCCAAGGAAGCUCGGAGUGCUUCGUUGGAAGUUUUUGGACGUAAGAACACGGAGAUCGACAAGUUCAAAGUUUGGCCGGAGCUUUCGAGGCUUUUUCCGGCGAAUCCCCGGCGAGUUAGGAGUCGAGGUAGGUAUCAAUUUCUUCGUCUCGUCAAGUACUACAACUUUCCUUUUUGUUUCACUCAAUUUCGUUGAGUAUUGAAGAAGUUAUACUCAUUUGAAAAAUACCCAGUUUCCGGCGACCUCCGAGGCUUUCGAGGCAGUUUCCGGCCAAACCACGGCGAACUAGGUGUUGUGCAAGGUACCAUUUGAAGAAGUUAUACUUUUCAAGGGCUACAACUUUCGUUUUUGAAUCACUUGAUUUCGUUGAGAAAUGACAAAGUUAUGGCAAUUUGAAAAACGGCCGCCGGAAAAACCAGUCCGGCGACCCAAGGAAGAAGAAGGUGCGCGUGGGGGCGCGUAGGUCCGUGCCUUCCUUGGCGCAUGGGGGCGCGUGCUACAGUAAAAAAAUAUUUUAAAAAUAUGUCGACGUCCGUGACGUCGAGUAGACCUCUGUGGUAUAUUCAUAUACCCAAUUUGAGCACCGUAUGAGAAAGUUAUUAAGGAUUGUUGGUUAGGUGUUCGAAUAACGUUUUAUAGUUUUGGUGAAAAUGUGAAUUGAUGAUCCGACCGUUGGAUCGUCACCAAAAUUUGAUACGUUGUAAUACGUAAUAUUUGAGGAUUAUAGGAACUUACAGAUUGGGAAUCCGAUUUGCGGAUCUUCCGAAAUUGGAGUUGUAAGUCCAUAAUAUAGAAUGUUAACUGUCACUUAGUUUUGGAAAUUGACGGAGAUCCAACCGUUGGAUGGUAAUGAAAUUUUAGGAUGUUAUCCUAGAGAUAUAUUGUGGACCUCUGGAAGUUAUGGAUUUAAAAUCUGAGUGGCAGAUCUUCCGGAUCGAACUACGUAGUGACGUAUUUUAUAUAAGUUAUAUAUUCUAUCGAUAUGAAUUCUGAGGUUGGAUUUGAUUACUAUUCUAGGCGGCGAUCGUCGUGACGCCUUGAUGUGUGGUGCUAGGGAGUUGUUGGACGAACUCCAGGUGAGUGGGCAGUUUUGUUUUCCGUAUACAUAUAUACUUGCCGUUUUCCCAGAAAUUGAAAAUGCAUGAAAUUAUGCUUUUAAUGAAAAUGUAUAAAAGUAUAUGAGAUAUAUUAGUUGAAAUGCCAUGCAUGAAAGUAUAUGAAAAGUAGAUAGAAAUGUGAAUCGAAUUGCCAUGCAUGAAAUGAUAUGGAAAGUAUGAAUUGAUAUAUGAUGCAUAUGUAUGAAUUGGUGCGGCGGACGCACAGGUGAGUAUCAGGUGAGUAUUUAAAUAUUGUUAUGAUGAUGUUGAUAUAUAUUGAGCUCAAAUCCUGCACCAUGGUUAGUGCUUAUAGUAUUCACCGCAUCGCACGCUCGCCUUGGAUCCAAGUAGAUGCUGGUCGCACAGUCCACGCGGAGUGGGUGCGACGGGCCAGUCGAAGAGUGUUAGUGAGAUUUCGACUGGUGGGUGACCUUAGAUUAUGUGCACAGAUGAUUGAUGAGAAAGCACUAGAGCGUAACUUGUGUGCAGAAGGCCGGACGGGUCACAGAGGUGACUCCGGUAGAGUGAUAGUGAUAGAUUUUGAGCUCUAGGUUCAACCGUACAGGGCUAUUAGAGGGCCUCCGGUUGAUUACUUUCUUGCACCUGAUAUGAUUAUUGUUGAUGCAUCCAUACUUAACUGUUGAAUUAGACAUGGCAUGGCAUGAUUGAUAAAGAAAAAAUGUUAAGUUAAUGAAUCGAAGUAUUGAGAAUAUAUAUGUAUAUUUAUAUUUUACAUUUCUGGGAAAGUAUACAGGUUUUACGGAGAGGGGUUACAACGUUUUGAGAAAUGUUUGGAUUUGGAAAAGAAUUGUUUUACUGACCCACUCAAUUUUGGUUUUGCGCCCCUCCAG